AAGCAAAGCAAAGGCGAUUACCAGUGAUCGGCGGCAACGAUGAUGGUGGAUCUGAGUUCCUUCUCCGACGAGAAAUUUGAUCCGAAAAAAUGGAUAAACUCAGCGUGCCAGUCACGGCAUCCACAGGAUCCACUGGACAAACACUUGAUAGAUCUGGAAAUGAAGCUUCAGAUGGUGUCUGAAGAGAUCGCCGCUUCCCUGGAGGAGCAAAGCUCCGCCGCACUCCUCCGUGUCCCCCGCGCUAAUCGAGAUGUCAUCCGCCUUCGUGACGAUGCUCUCUCCCUUCGCUCCUCUCUCUCUGCCAUCCUCCAAAAACUUAAAAAAGCUGAGGGAUCAUCUGCUGAAUCUGUAGCUACAUUAGCAAAAGUUGAUACUGUCAAGCGGAGAAUGGAAGCUGCAUAUGAGACAUUGCAGGAUGCUGCUGGUUUAACUCAAUUAAGCUCAACAGUGGAGGAGGUAUUUGCUAGUGGUGACCUUCCACGAGCUGCAGAAACUCUGGCUAAUAUGAGGCACUGUUUGUCUGCCGUUGGAGAGGUUGCUGAAUUUGCCAAUAUUAGGAGGCAACUAGAAGUUUUAGAAGACAGACUAGACUCAGUUGUCCAACCUCGACUGACAGAUGCUCUAAGCAAUCGAAAGGUUGAUGUUGCCCAAGAAAUGCGUGCGAUUCUUCUGAGAAUUGGGAGAUUCAAGUCGUUAGAGAUGCACUACACCAUGGUCCACCUUAAGCCAAUAAAGCGGCUUUGGGAAGAUUUUGACUUGAGGCAGCAGGCCAAUAAAGUUGCCAAUGAAAAAAGUGAAAUGGAUAGACUAUCAAAUUCUCAGGAUUUUCAACCGUCCAUGAUAUCAUUCUCAAGUUGGCUGACUAGUUUCUACGAUGAAUUGUUGCUUUAUCUUGAACAGGAGUGGAAGUGGUGUAUGUUUGCCUUUCCAGAAGAAUACAGAACUCUUGUACCAAGCCUACUAAAUGAAGCAAUGUCAACUAUUGGUGUGAGUUUUGCAUCACAGAUCAAUCUUGCCAUUGGGGAUGCCGUGACUGAGACAAAAACCUUGGCGAAAGGUAUAAUUGACAUUUCAAAUGGAGAUUUGCCAAAAGGUGCCAAGAUUCAGACUAAACAUUUGGAAGCCCUUAUUGAACUUCAUAAUACAACAGGGAGCUUUGCUAGGAACAUUCAACACCUGUUUUCAGAUGCCGAUCCUCAAGUUUUUCUGGAUGCUCUGAAGGCAGUGUACCUUCCUUAUGAAUUUUUCAAAAGGCGAUAUGGACAGAUGGAGCGUGCAGUUCUCUCUAGUGAGAUUGCAGGACUUGAUCUCAGAGGAGCUGCUGUUACUCUUGUGGGAGUCCAGGGAGUUGAACUUAGUGAAACUGUACGAAGGAUGGAAGAGUCAAUUCCACAAGUCAUUUUGCUUCUUGAGGCAGCAGUUGAAAGAUGCAUCAACUUUACUGGUGGCUCUGAGGUGGAUGAGUUAAUUCUCGUGCUGGAUGAUGUCAUGCUACAGUAUAUUUCCACUUUGCAGGAGAAUGUAAAAUCACUGAGAGCUGUUUGUGGACUGGAUGUGGAUGCUAUUAGUACAAAGAAAGAUGCAGGAUCAGAAAGAAGGGAAACAGCUUCAAAUGCACGUAAAGUUGACUUCACAUCAAGUGAGGAGGAGUGGUCAUUUGUUCAAGGUGCAUUGCAGAUCCUUACUGUUGCUGAUUGUUUAACCAGCAGAUCUUCAGUCUUUGAAGCUUCCCUCAAGGCUACUCUUGCUAGGUUGAGUACAAGCCUCUCUUUCUCAGUUUUUGGGUCAAGUAUUGAUCAGAACAAGCCAGAUAUAGUCAAUGAUGAUGGAAAUGGGCAAUUAUCUGUGGCUCGAAAAGCUGCCUUGGAUGUGGCAGCUGUGAGACUGGUGGAUAUUCCUGAAAAGGCUCGGAAGCUUCUUAAUUUAUUGGAGCAGUCUAAAGAUCCCAGGUUCCAUGCACUUCCAGUAGCAUCACAACGAGUUACAGCUUUCUCAGACGCAGUCAAUGAGCUUGUUUACGAUGUUCUUAUUUCAAAAAUACGGCAGCAGUUCAAUGAUCUGUCACGGCUGCCCAUAUGGUCAUCUGUUGAAGAACAUAGUCUAAGGCCCCUCCCAACCUUCAGUUCAUACCCACAAUCUUAUGUGACUGGCGUUGGUGAAUAUCUCCUUACGUUACCCCAACAACUAGAGCCACUUGUAGAGAAUAUUUCCAACAGCGAUCCCAAUGCUGAUGAAGCCCAGUACUUUGCAACUGAAUGGAUGUUCAAGGUU
rnacentral:misc_RNA from 1 species